GUUGUGGUAUACCAAGUUGGGGCGAGCCUGGCACUGGGAACAUAUUGUUGUGAGCUUGGCACUGUGUACAUGUGGUAUGGUACGUUGCAGUGGCAUUGACACUGUGUAUGUUGUGGCAAAGCAAGGUGGGGUGAGCCUUGCACUGUGUACAUGUAAUAUGGCAGGUUGUGGUGAGCCUGGCACUGUGUAUAUGUGGUAUGGCAUGUUAGGGUAAGCCAGGCACUCUGUAGAUGUGGUAGUAUAGCAGGUUCAGGUAUAGCAAGUUUGGUUGAGUCUGGCACUGUGUAUUAUAGCAGGUUGGGGCGAGUCUGGCAUUGUGUACAUGUGGUAUGGCAGGCUGGGACGAGACUGGCACUGUGUGUGUGUGUAUAUGUAUAUAUACACACACACAAACAUAUAUAUCGAUGUUAAGCUGGUUGUGGUGAGCCGGGCACUGUGUAUGUUGUGGUAUACCAAGUUGGGGCGAGCCUGGCACUGGGAACAUAUUGUUGUGAGCUUGGCACUGCGUACAUGUGGUAUGGUACGUUACAGUGACAUUGUGUAUGUUGUGGCAAAGCAAGGUGGGGUGAGCCUUGCACUGUGUACAUGUAAUAUGGCAGGUUGGGGCGAGCCUGGCACUGUGUAUGUUGUAGGCAAGUUGGGGGCGAGCCUGGCACUGUGUACAUGUAAUAUGGCAGGUUGGGGUGAGCCUGGCACUGUGUAUGUUGUAGGCAGGUUGGGGUGAGCCUGGCACUGUGUAUGUUGUAGGCAAGUUGGGGCGAGCCUGGCACUGUGUACAUAUUGUUGUGAGCUUGGCACUGUGUACAUGUGGUAUGGUACGUUGCAGUGACAUUGACACUGUGUAUGUUGUGGCAUAGCAAGGUGGGGUGAGCCUUGCACUGUGUACAUGUAAUAUGGCAGGUUGUGGUGAGCCUGGCACUGUGCACAUAUUGUCGUUAAGCUGGUUGUUGUGAGUUUGGCACUGUGUACAUGUGGUAUGGUACGUUGGAGUGAGUUUGGCACUGUGUACAUGUGGUAUGGUACGUUGGAGUGACAUUGACACUGUGAAUGUUCUGGCAUAGCAAGGUGGGGCGAGCCUGGCACUGUGUACAUCUAAUAUAG